rnacentral:rRNA from 1 species
ACGGAGGGGGCUAGCGUUGUUCGGAAUCACUGGGCGUAAAGGGCGCGUAGGCGGCUUUGUAAGUCGGGGGUGAAAGCCUGUGGCUCAACCACAGAAUUGCCUUCGAUACUGCAAGGCUUGAGACCGGAAGAGGUUAGUGGAACUGCGAGUGUAGAGGUGAAAUUCGUAGAUAUUCGGAAGUACACCAGUGGCGAAGGCGACUUACUGGACACAUAUUGACGCUGAGGUGCGAAAGCGUGGGGAGCAAACAGGA